rnacentral:rRNA from 1 species
ACGGGGUGCAGCAGGCGCGAAAACUUCACAAUGUGCGAAAGCGCGAUGAGGGAAUCCCAAGUGCAUGCACGUAAGUGUAUGCUGUUUCUUUGUUUAAAAAGCAUAGAGAGUAAGGGCUGGGUAAGACGGGUGCCAGCCGCCGCGGUAAUACCUGCAGCUCAAGUGGUGAUCGUUAUUAUUGGGCCUAAAACGUUCGUAGCCGGUUUAGUAAAUGCCUGGGUAAAUCGUGUAGCUCAACUAUACGGAUUCCGGGUAGACUGCUAAACUUGAGACCGGGAGAGGCUAGAGGUACUCCUGGGGUAGAGGUGAAAUUCUGUAAUCCUAGGGGGACCACCAGUGGCGAAGGCGUCUAGCUAGAACGGGUCUGACGGUGAGGGACGAAGCCCUGGGGCGCGAACCGGAUUAGAUACCCGGGUAGUCCAGGGUGUAAACGCUGCUUGCUUGAUGUUAGUCGGGCUCCGAGCCCGAUUAGUGUCGGAGAGAAGUUGUUAAGCAAGCUGCCUGGGAAGUACGGUCGCAAGGCUGAAACUUAAAGGAAUUGGCGGGGGAGCACAGCAACGGGUGGAGCGUGCGGUUUAAUUGGAUUCAACGCCGGAAAACUCACCGGAGGCGACGGUUACAUGAAGGCCAGGCUGAUGACCUUGCUAGAUUUUCCGAGAGGUGGUGCAUGGCCGCCGUCAGUUCGUACCGUAAGGCGUUCUGUUAAGUCAGACAACGAACGAGACCCUCGUCUUUAAUUGCUACUGGUA